rnacentral:misc_RNA from 1 species
GAUGAAGAACGUAGCGAAAUGCGAUAAGUAGUGUGAAUUGCAGAAUUCAGUGAAUCAUCGAAUCUUUGAACGCACAUUGUGCCCCUUGGUAUUCCAUGGGGCAUGCCUGUUCGAGCGUCAUUUGUACCCUCCAGCCCUGCUGGGUGUUGGGCGUUUUGUUCCGCCGCGCGCGUGAACUCGCCUCAAAUGCAUUGGCAGCCAGCCGUCCCGCGUGGGAGCGCAGCACAUUUUGCGCUCUCCGCUGGGUGCGGCGGCGUCCACAAGCCUAUACCUUUACGCUUGACCUCGGAUCAGGUAGGGAUACCCGCUGAACUUAAGCAUAUCAAUAAGCGGAGGA